rnacentral:tRNA from 1 species
CAGCAGAUAAUUUAUUUAAAAUAUUAAUCUUGGAAAUUAAAAAAGAGACCUCUUUCUGCUG